rnacentral:lncRNA from 1 species
AAUUGAGAGCCUUCCGGAGAGAUCUAAGAAAGAGAGAAAAAGAGAAAGAAUCUUCUUGUUCCUUGUAAUCUCAUCUGUAUAAGCUCUGUAAAUUUCAUCUGGUAUCAUCAAUUACGCUUUUUCUGUGGCUUCUCCCGUGGAUGUAGAUUGUGCAUUCAUGCACAAUUGAACCACGUUAAACCUUUCUUGUGGUGUGUGUUUUGUUUCCAUUUCAGUUCCGAUUUCAUAUUCUUUAAUCUCCUUUAACCUAUAGCUGAGGAUUUUUUAGACAUUGAAAGCAUCAGAUCAAUUGUUGAUUCACAGUACAACUUGUAUAGAUCUUGACAAGGUUCUUGGGCAGUGGCAGUUUGCCUCAAGGAACUAAGGUAAUCAGAUCACUACAGCUAGCGUUUAGAUCAUUGUAUAUUUGUGUUGGUUUGGUUUCCGCAUGAAAUGUAUAUUCAUCAAAUUCACAAUGCAUGUAAGCAGUCCGUUUAUAGUUUAUAAAGAUUUUUCGGCUCAUAAUUUCUUCAAGAUUUUUGGAUCAAUGCUUCCUCAGCAGUAGUAAAUUUUUGCUGAAUUAUUUUCGGAAAAUUUUUCUGCAACUAGCUUAUUCUGAAAUCUCUUCAGUCUUAUGAGGCUGGAAAGACAGCAUCAAGUGUUGGAGGUGAACAAGAAGCGAACUUUGAAAAAAGCAAAAGAGACAGAACAAGGGAUUGUGAACAGGGUAAGGUGUCCUUUUCCUGAUAUAAUUGAAGUACGACUUCAAAGGAUGAAUGCGUUGAGUAGACACUUUUUCCUUCGAAAUGAUAUCUAAACUAUGCUGCUAAAUGGUUUUAGUGUUAUAAAACUUUGGAAAUGAGUUACAUUUUAGCCUCGAUUCUCUGAUUUUUUAUAUGUCUUUCCAUUCUCACAGUUUUAUGAAGAACUUGUAGAAAUAAAUAAAAGCCUUUGUUGUUAAUACUAACAGCAAAAUGUGUUGUG